AUGGACGCACAUCAACUUGUUGCCGCCAACGACGAGCAAAGCAGCGGCUACAGGUGCAGCGGAUCACCAGCGGGGGUGCGGAAAUGUGCGAGGGUGCACGCGACCGAGCGAAGGCUGUUUGCGCUGGUGUCUUGCGUGCAGGCACUUGUGCACGAGCAGGAGCUCGUCCCCGAUCAUGGAGAAGACUACGACCGGAUCCGUGCGGUUGGUGUUGUGCGGCUCCUACGCGGGCAGCGCGCUGGGGUUGUGUGCGUGCGCGAACAGACAGGGUCGAGCGCUUGCGGGGGUGUGCAGGAGCAUGCAUGGGUGCAGCAAGGGCGGCAGCCUGCAUGCAGAGAGUGCGCGACCAUGGUGGCCAUGCAGCCGGAGCCUCCGUUCGCUCGGGGGGAGCGCUCAAAUGCUUGGGUCGACAAAAUAAAGGAGGUAGGAGGAGCGGAGCUUCACCGUGGGGGAGCUGCUGGAGUUGUACAAGGCCGAGGGUGGACGUGGUCGGCGGGAAGACGUGCUGAUCGUGGCGAUGGUGCUCGGGUCCGUGAAGCAGAGGAAGCAGGGGAAGAAGACGUCGAGGAGGAGGUCGAUCCGGGCUCGAAUGGACGCUUGCGAGGUCAAGGAAGAAGAGGGGGACGCGAGUGUUGCUCCCCGCGGAAGAAGAAGGACGGGCCGAGCUGGUCAAGUAAGAGAGGAGAUCGGCCUACUCUUGGCCAUGGCGUCGGCGUGAAGCUUGGUACCUUACCUGGCGGCGGUAGGAGGAAGAGAAGGGUGGAAUGGAGGGAGGAGGAGGUCUAG
rnacentral:rRNA from 1 species